UACGGAGGGUGCAAGCGUUGUCCGGAUUUACUGGGUUUAAAGGGUGCGUAGGCGGUUCUUUAAGUCAGUGGUGAAAUCCUCCGGCUUAACCGGAGAGGGUCCAUUGAUACUGGAGAACUUGAGUACACUAGGGGUAUGCGGAAUUGAUGAUGUAGCGGUGAAAUGCAUAGAUAUCAUCAAGAACACCGAUAGCGAAGGCAGCAUACUGGAUUGUAACUGACGCUGAUGCACGAAAGCGUGGGUAUCGAACAGG
rnacentral:rRNA from 1 species